GAUGAACGCUGGCGGCGUGCCUAACACAUGCAAGUCGAGCGAUCUUCUUCGGAAGAGAGCGGCGGACGGGUGAGUAACGCGUGGGUAACCUGCCCUGUACACACGGAUAACAUACCGAAAGGUAUGCUAAUACGGGAUGACAUAUGAAAGUCGCAUGGCUUUUAUAUCAAAGCUCCGGCGGUACAGGAUGGACCCGCGUCUGAUUAGCUAGUUGGUAAGGUAACGGCUUACCAAGGCGACGAUCAGUAGCCGACCUGAGAGGGUGAUCGGCCACACUGGAACUGAGACACGGUCCAGACUCCUACGGGAGGCAGCAGUGGGGAAUAUUGCACAAUGGGCGAAAGCCUGAUGCAGCAACGCCGCGUGAGCGAUGAAGGCCUUCGGGUCGUAAAGCUCUGUCCUCAAGGAAGAUAAUGACGGUACUUGAGGAGGAAGCCCCGGCUAACUACGUGCCAGCAGCCGCGGUAAUACGUAGGGGGCUAGCGUUAUCCGGAAUUACUGGGCGUAAAGGGUGCGUAGGCGGUCUUUCAAGCCAGAAGUGAAAGGCUACGGCUCAACCGUAGUAAGCUUUUGGAACUGUAGGACUUGAGUGCAGGAGAGGAGAGUAGAAUUCCUAGUGUAGCGGUGAAGUGCGUAGAUAUUAGGAGGAAUACCAGUAGCGAAGGCGGCUCUCUGGACUGUAACUGACGCUGAGGCACGAAAGCGUGGGGAGCAAACAGG
rnacentral:rRNA from 1 species